AGGAGGUGGCGCGGUGGUCGCGGGUCGGGCAACCGGCCUGAGGAAAGUCCGGGCUCCCCAACGAGCGGAUUGCUGGGUAACGCCCAGUGCGCGUGAGCGUGAGGACAGUGCCACAGAAACAUACCGCCGAUGGCUGCACUGCGAUCUGUGGGUUGCAGUGCGGAUCAGGUAAGGGUGCAAAGGUGCGGUAAGAGCGCACCAGCGACAUCGAGAGGUGUCGGCUCGGUAAACCCCGUCCUGAGCAAGGCGUGGGGACGCAUGGGUUGCUCGUUGACCGUCCCCCGACAAGCCGCACGAGGCGCCAGGUAACUGGCGUCCCAGAGAGAUGACCGCCCGCCGCGGGCAACCGCGGCUGAACAGAACCCGGCUUACGACUGCCUCCUCCAC
rnacentral:RNase_P_RNA from 1 species